rnacentral:rRNA from 1 species
ACGGGUGAGUAAUGCCUAGGAAUCUGCCUGGUAGUGGGGGACAACGUUUCGAAAGGAACGCUAAUACCGCAUACGUCCUACGGGAGAAAGCAGGGGACCUUCGGGCCUUGCGCUAUCAGAUGAGCCUAGGUCGGAUUAGCUUGUUGGUGAGGUAAUGGCUCACCAAGGCGACGAUCCGUAACUGGUCUGAGAGGAUGAUCAGUCACACUGGAACUGAGACACGGUCCAGACUCCUACGGGAGGCAGCAGUGGGGAAUAUUGGACAAUGGGCGAAAGCCUGAUCCAGCCAUGCCGCGUGUGUGAAGAAGGUCUUCGGAUUGUAAAGCACUUUAAGUUGGGAGGAAGGGUUGUAGAUUAAUACUCUGCAAUUUUGACGUUACCGACAGAAUAAGCACCGGCUAACUCUGUGCCAGCAGCCGCGGUAAUACAGAGGGUGCAAGCGUUAAUCGGAAUUACUGGGCGUAAAGCGCGCGUAGGUGGUUUGUUAAGUUGGAUGUGAAAGCCCCGGGCUCAACCUGGGAACUGCAUCCAAAACUGGCAAGCUAGAGUACGGUAGAGGGUGGUGGGAAUUUCCUGUGUAGCGGUG